UGAGAACGGAGUGCUGACAACGCUGUUGUAGAAAGACCGUCGAAGACUCGUAGGACUUUGACAUAACAAUGGUACAUGACGCUAAUCGGGAGAGUUGUUCGCGUUAGCAGCAUCGUAAGGUGCGGCUUCGCUAACAAAGCGGAGAAUGAUUCGCUUCAGUAUUACAUUUCUGUUGCUAAGCAUGUGUAUGAUUUUGUCAGUGGAAUGUCAAGCCUGGAAUUCAAAACUAAACAGACAGGGAUUCAGAGGUUACUAUGGUGAUCGAGGAUUUGAAGAGACAACACAGGCACCAAAAAGAAAUAACAACCACAAUAAUAAU
rnacentral:lncRNA from 1 species